rnacentral:rRNA from 1 species
GUGGGGAAUAUUGGACAAUGGGCGAAAGCCUGAUCCAGCCAUGCCGCGUGUGUGAAGAAGGUCUUCGGAUUGUAAAGCACUUUAAGUUGGGAGGAAGGGUAGUAACCUAAUACGUUGCUACUUUGACGUUACCGACAGAAUAAGCACCGGCUAACUUCGUGCCAGCAGCCGCGGUAAUACGAAGGGUGCAAGCGUUAAUCGGAAUUACUGGGCGUAAAGCGCGCGUAGGUGGUUCAGUAAGUUGGAAGUGAAAUCUCCGGGCUCAACCUGGGAACUGCCUCCAAAACUGCAUGACUAGAGUACGGUAGAGGGUAGUGGAAUUUCCUGUGUAGCGGUGAAAUGCGUAGAUAUAGGAAGGAACACCAGUGGCGAAGGCGACUACCUGGACUGAUACUGACACUGAGGUGCGAAAGCGUGGGGAGCAAACAGGAUUAGAAACCCUGGUAGUCC